GGGUUGUGAGGUUAAGCGACUAAGCGUACACGGUGGAUGCCCUGGCAGUCAGAGGCGAUGAAGGACGUGCUAAUCUGCGAAAAGCGUCGGUAAGGUGAUAUGAACCGUUAUAACCGGCGAUGUCCGAAUGGGGAAACCCAGUGUGAUUCGUCACACUAUCGUUAACUGAAUACAUAGGUUAACGAGGCGAACCGGGGGAACUGAAACAUCUAAGUACCCCGAGGAAAAGAAAUCAACCGAGAUUCCCCCAGUAGCGGCGAGCGAACGGGGAGCAGCCCAGAGUCUGAAUCAGCUUGUGUGUUAGUGGAACGGUCUGGAAAGUCCGACGGUACAGGGUGAUAGUCCCGUACACCAAAAUGCACAGGUUGUGAACUCGAAGAGUAGGGCGGGACACGUGGUAUCCUGUCUGAAUAUGGGGGGACCAUCCUCCAAGGCUAAAUACUCCUGACUGACCGAUAGUGAACCAGUACCGUGAGGGAAAGGCGAAAAGAACCCCGGCGAGGGGAGUGAAAAAGAACCUGAAACCGUGUACGUACAAGCAGUGGGAGCACCUUUAUGGUGUGACUGCGUACCUUUUGUAUAAUGGGUCAGCGACUUAUAUUCUGUAGCAAGGUUAACCGUAUAGGGGAGCCGCAGGGAAACCGAGUCUUAACUGGGCGUUAAGUUGCAGGGUAUAGACCCGAAACCCGGUGAUCUAGCCAUGGGCAGGUUGAAGGUUGGGUAACACUAACUGGAGGACCGAACCGACUAAUGUUGAAAAAUUAGCGGAUGACUUGUGGCUGGGGGUGAAAGGCCAAUCAAACCGGGAGAUAGCUGGUUCUCCCCGAAAGCUAUUUAGGUAGCGCCUCGUGAACUCAUCUUCGGGGGUAGAGCACUGUUUCGGCUAGGGGGUCAUCCCGACUUACCAACCCGAUGCAAACUACGAAUACCGAAGAAUGUUAUCACGGGAGACACACGGCGGGUGCUAACGUCCGUCGUGAAGAGGGAAACAACCCAGACCGCCAGCUAAGGUCCCAAAGUCAUGGUUAAGUGGGAAACGAUGUGGGAAGGCACAGACAGCCAGGAUGUUGGCUUAGAAGCAGCCAUCAUUUAAAGAAAGCGUAAUAGCUCACUGGUCGAGUCGGCCUGCGCGGAAGAUGUAACGGGGCUAAACCAUGCACCGAAGCUGCGGCAGCGACACUAUGUGUUGUUGGGUAGGGGAGCGUUCUGUAAGCCUGCGAAGGUGACCUGUGAGGGUUGCUGGAGGUAUCAGAAGUGCGAAUGCUGACAUAAGUAACGAUAAAGCGGGUGAAAAGCCCGCUCGCCGGAAGACCAAGGGUUCCUGUCCAACGUUAAUCGGGGCAGGGUGAGUCGACCCCUAAGGCGAGGCCGAAAGGCGUAGUCGAUGGGAAACAGGUUAAUAUUCCUGUACUUGGUGUUACUGCGAAGGGGGGACGGAGAAGGCUAUGUUAGCCGGGCGACGGUUGUCCCGGUUUAAGCAUGUAGGCUGGUUAUCCAGGCAAAUCCGGAUAAUCAAGGCUGAGGUGUGAUGACGAGGCACUACGGUGCUGAAGUAACAAAUGCCCUGCUUCCAGGAAAAGCCUCUAAGCAUCAGGUAACAUCAAAUCGUACCCCAAACCGACACAGGUGGUCAGGUAGAGAAUACCAAGGCGCUUGAGAGAACUCGGGUGAAGGAACUAGGCAAAAUGGUGCCGUAACUUCGGGAGAAGGCACGCUGGUGUGUAGGUGAAGCCCCUGCGGGUGGAGCUGAGACCAGUCGAAGAUACCAGCUGGCUGCAACUGUUUAUUAAAAACACAGCACUGUGCAAACACGAAAGUGGACGUAUACGGUGUGACGCCUGCCCGGUGCCGGAAGGUUAAUUGAUGGGGUUAUCCGUAAGGAGAAGCUCUUGAUCGAAGCCCCGGUAAACGGCGGCCGUAACUAUAACGGUCCUAAGGUAGCGAAAUUCCUUGUCGGGUAAGUUCCGACCUGCACGAAUGGCGUAAUGAUGGCCAGGCUGUCUCCACCCGAGACUCAGUGAAAUUGAACUCGCUGUGAAGAUGCAGUGUACCCGCGGCAAGACGGAAAGACCCCGUGAACCUUUACUAUAGCUUGACACUGAACAUUGAGCCUUGAUGUGUAGGAUAGGUGGGAGGCUUUGAAGCGUGGACGCCAGUCUGCGUGGAGCCAACCUUGAAAUACCACCCUUUAAUGUUUGAUGUUCUAACGUUGGCCCCUAAUCGGGGUUGCGGACAGUGUCUGGUGGGUAGUUUGACUGGGGCGGUCUCCUCCCAAAGCGUAACGGAGGAGCACGAAGGUUAGCUAAUCCUGGUCGGACAUCAGGAGGUUAGUGCAAUGGCAUAAGCUAGCUUGACUGCGAGCGUGACGGCGCGAGCAGGUGCGAAAGCAGGUCAUAGUGAUCCGGUGGUUCUGAAUGGAAGGGCCAUCGCUCAACGGAUAAAAGGUACUCCGGGGAUAACAGGCUGAUACCGCCCAAGAGUUCAUAUCGACGGCGGUGUUUGGCACCUCGAUGUCGGCUCAUCACAUCCUGGGGCUGAAGUAGGUCCCAAGGGUAUGGCUGUUCGCCAUUUAAAGUGGUACGCGAGCUGGGUUUAGAACGUCGUGAGACAGUUCGGUCCCUAUCUGCCGUGGGCGCUGGAGAAUUGAGGGGGGCUGCUCCUAGUACGAGAGGACCGGAGUGGACGCAUCACUGGUGUUCGGGUUGUCAUGCCAAUGGCACUGCCCGGUAGCUAAAUGCGGAAGAGAUAAGUGCUGAAAGCAUCUAAGCACGAAACUUGCCCCGAGAUGAGUUCUCCCUGAGACUUUAAGUCUCCUGAAGGAACGUUGAAGACGACGACGUUGAUAGGCCGGGUGUGUAAGCGCAGCGAUGCGUUGAGCUAACCGGUACUAAUGAACCGUGAGGCUUAACCUUACAACGCCGAAG
rnacentral:rRNA from 1 species